rfam:Salmo salar isolate Sally breed double haploid chromosome ssa18, whole genome shotgun sequence.
UAUGCACUCUACUGUAAGUCGCUCUAGAUAAGAGCGUCUGCUAAAUGACUAAAA